rnacentral:snRNA from 1 species
GGAUGUGAGAGUGAUCUGGCUGGGAUAUCUGUCACCCCAUUGAUUGCCAGGGUUGAUUCAGCUGAUCUGGCUGGCUAAAAGUGUGUCCCCUUCCUCCCUCACUGCUCCAUGUGUGUCCCUCCCAAAGCUGUGUGUUCCCUGAAUAGCGAUGGACCAGUCUUCGGUCAAGGGUAUAUGAAUAGCUGCACACCCCUGCUGGAACUUCCAAACAAGCUCUCGGGUGUGAUCCCUAAGACAUCAACAUCAGAAAUCCCUGGAGAAUUUC